rnacentral:lncRNA from 1 species
UCGUCACUUGGAGAGGGGGAACGUGUUGGAUUUCAAAGGUUUAGUCUGGGGUGUUUUCCAGUGGAGCAGGAGGAUAAAUAUCUUGGUUUGAAGAGGUUUCCAGUGGAUUCUUUUCCAGUGGAGCAAAACAAACCUGUUGGAUUUCACAGGUUUUCAGUGAGUUGUUCUUCACUGGAGAAGAAGAAUAAAUGUUUUGAAGAGUUUUCCAGUGGAUUCUUUUCCAGUGGAGCAGGAGAUUAAACUGGUUGGAUUUUACAGGUUUUCAGUGGAUUGUUUCUUGGUGGAGCAGGAGAAUAAAUGUCUUGAUUUUUAACAGAUUUCCAGUGGGUUGUUUUGUAGUGGAGCAGGAAAACAAGUUUCUUGGAUUUAAGAGGUUUUCAGUGGAUUGUUCUUCACUGGAGGAGGAGAAUAAAUCUGUUGGACUUCACAGGUUUUCAGUGAGUUGUUCUUCACUGAAGAAGAAGAAUAAAUGUCUUGGUUUGAACAGGUUUUCAGUGGAUUCUUUUCCAGUGGAACAGGAGAACAAACCUGUUGGAUUUCACAGGUUUCCAGUGGGUUGUUCCUCACUGGAGCAGGAGAAUACAAGAACCCUUUGGAUUUAGCAGGUUUCCCAUGGAUUGUUGGAGUUUAGGGAUGUUACCAAGAGCCAGGGGUCGGGAGGUGCCUUGUGAGGCUGUGCAGGGAGCUUGGAGCAAAGGAGAAACGUCUUGGGAGCGGUUUGGGAAGGUUUUAGAGAUCCCAGAGCAAUUCUGGGGUUGUUUUCAUGAGGAGAGUGAAACAAAGAGGAGAAAAAAGGUUUAUUUAAUUGGUGUGACAUGUUCUUCCAUGAUUUACCUGCAGGACUCUCCCCUGGGGAGCUCAGAGCAAAGGAGAAACAUUUGGGAAUGUUUUAGGAAGGUGUUAAAGAUCCCAGACCAAUUCUGGAGCUGUUUUCACGAGGAGAACGAAACAAAGAAGGGAAGAAGGGUUGAUUUUGGUGGCUUGGUGUGUUCUCCCCCUGCAGGACUCUCCCCUGAAGGCCGUGCAGAUGCUGUGGGUGAACCUGAUCAUGGACACCUUCGCCUCGCUGGCGCUGGCCACGGAGCCGCCGACCGAGGCGCUGCUGCUGCGCAAACCCUACGGCCGCAACAAGCCGCUCAUCUCCCGCACCAUGAUGAAGAACAUCCUGGGCCACGCCGUCUACCAGCUCACCAUCAUCUUCACACUGCUCUUCGCCGGGGAGAAGUUUUUCGACAUCGACAGCGGCCGGAACGCUCCCCUGCACUCUCCCCCCACCGAGCACUACACCA